rnacentral:rRNA from 1 species
AAGAGUUUGAUCAUGGCUCAGAUUGAACGCUGGCGGCAGGCCUAACACAUGCAAGUCGAACGGUAACAGGAAGCAGCUUGCUGCUUUGCUGACGAGUGGCGGACGGGUGAGUAAUGUCUGGGAAACUGCCUGAUGGAGGGGGAUAACUACUGGAAACGGUGGCUAAUACCGCAUAACGUCGCAAGACCAAAGAGGGGGACCUUCGGGCCUCUUGCCAUCAGAUGUGCCCAGAUGGGAUUAGCUAGUUGGUGAGGUAACGGCUCACCAAGGCGACGAUCCCUAGCUGGUCUGAGAGGAUGACCAGCCACACUGGAACUGAGACACGGUCCAGACUCCUACGGGAGGCAGCAGUGGGGAAUAUUGCACAAUGGGCGCAAGCCUGAUGCAGCCAUGCCGCGUGUAUGAAGAAGGCCUUCGGGUUGUAAAGUACUUUCAGCGGGGAGGAAGGUGUUGUGGUUAAUAACCGCAGCAAUUGACGUUACCCGCAGAAGAAGCACCGGCUAACUCCGUGCCAGCAGCCGCGGUAAUACGGAGGGUGCAAGCGUUAAUCGGAAUUACUGGGCGUAAAGCGCACGCAGGCGGUCUGUCAAGUCGGAUGUGAAAUCCCCGGGCUCAACCUGGGAACUGCAUUCGAAACUGGCAGGCUUGAGUCUUGUAGAGGGGGGUAGAAUUCCAGGUGUAGCGGUGAAAUGCGUAGAGAUCUGGAGGAAUACCGGUGGCGAAGGCGGCCCCCUGGACAAAGACUGACGCUCAGGUGCGAAAGCGUGGGGAGCAAACAGGAUUAGAUACCCUGGUAGUCCACGCCGUAAACGAUGUCUACUUGGAGGUUGUGCCCUUGAGGCGUGGCUUCCGGAGCUAACGCGUUAAGUAGACCGCCUGGGGAGUACGGCCGCAAGGUUAAAACUCAAAUGAAUUGACGGGGGCCCGCACAAGCGGUGGAGCAUGUGGUUUAAUUCGAUGCAACGCGAAGAACCUUACCUGGUCUUGACAUCCACAGAAGAAUCCAGAGAUGGAUUUGUGCCUUCGGGAACUGUGAGACAGGUGCUGCAUGGCUGUCGUCAGCUCGUGUUGUGAAAUGUUGGGUUAAGUCCCGCAACGAGCGCAACCCUUAUCCUUUGUUGCCAGCGGUCCGGCCGGGAACUCAAAGGAGACUGCCAGUGAUAAACUGGAGGAAGGUGGGGAUGACGUCAAGUCAUCAUGGCCCUUACGACCAGGGCUACACACGUGCUACAAUGGCGCAUACAAAGAGAAGCGACCUCGCGAGAGCAAGCGGACCUCAUAAAGUGCGUCGUAGUCCGGAUUGGAGUCUGCAACUCGACUCCAUGAAGUCGGAAUCGCUAGUAAUCGUGGAUCAGAAUGCCACGGUGAAUACGUUCCCGGGCCUUGUACACACCGCCCGUCACACCAUGGGAGUGGGUUGCAAAAGAAGUAGGUAGCUUAACCUUCGGGAGGGCGCUUACCACUUUGUGAUUCAUGACUGGGGUGAAGUCGUAACAAGGUAACCGUAGGGGAACCUGCGGUUGGAUCACCUCCUUA